UACGUAGGUGGCGAGCGUUGUCCGGAUUUACUGGGCGUAAAGGGCGUGCAGGCGGUUUGUUAAGUGCAGGGUGAAAGCUCCCGGCUCAACUGGGAGAGGUCCUUGCAUACUGGCGAACUCGAGGGAGGCAGAGGAAAGUGGAAUUCCCGGUGUAGUGGUGAUAUGCGUAGAUAUCGGGAGGAACACCAGUGGCGAAGGCUGGCUAUCUGGA
rnacentral:rRNA from 1 species